UGUCUUCGAGAGGGUAUGCCUCAGGCCA
rnacentral:sRNA from 1 species